GGCAGCUUAACCAAGUGGUUACGGUGUUCGCCUGCUAUUAAGCACUUUGCAAUAGCAAGGGCCAGCGAAUCCUCUCUGAGGGCGUGAGUUCGAAUCUCACAGCUGUCG
rfam:Tilletiaria anomala TBC 951 K437scaffold_67, whole genome shotgun sequence.